rnacentral:rRNA from 1 species
AACGAGGCUUCGGCCUUAGUGGCGCACGGGUGCGUAACGCGUGGGAAUCUGCCCUUUGGUUCGGAAUAACAGUUGGAAACGACUGCUAAUACCGGAUGACGACGUAAGUCCAAAGAUUUAUCGCCGAGGGAUGAGCCCGCGUAAGAUUAGCUAGUUGGUGUGGUAAAGGCGCACCAAGGCGACGAUCUUUAGCUGGUCUGAGAGGAUGAUCAGCCACACUGGGACUGAGACACGGCCCAGACUCCUACGGGAGGCAGCAGUGGGGAAUAUUGGACAAUGGGCGAAAGCCUGAUCCAGCAAUGCCGCGUGAGUGAUGAAGGCCUUAGGGUUGUAAAGCUCUUUUACCCGGGAUGAUAAUGACAGUACCGGGAGAAUAAGCUCCGGCUAACUCCGUGCCAGCAGCCGCGGUAAUACGGAGGGAGCUAGCGUUAUUCGGAAUUACUGGGCGUAAAGCGCACGUAGGCGGCUUUGUAAGUUAGAGGUGAAAGCCUGGAGCUCAA